AUAGGACCCUGUCCUCCUAUUUUCAGUUGGUUUGCCGCGAGGACCAGGGUAAUGAUUAAUAGGGAUAGUUGGGGGCAUUAAUAUUUAAUUGUCAGAGGUGAAAUUCUUGGAUUUAUGAAAGAUUAACUUCUGCGAAAGCAUCUGCCAAGGAUGUUUUCAUUAAUCAAGAACGAAAGUUAGGGGAUCGAAGACGAUCAGAUACCGUCGUAGUCUUAACCAUAAACGAUGCCGACCAGCGAUUAGGAGACGUUGAAUACAAAACACCACCAUGCGCAUUGCGGUCGUCUUUGGUGUCGCUCACAAGGCGGCACCGGGGCGGCUUAGCUCGCAUGGCACCGGUGA
rnacentral:rRNA from 1 species